CUCGCAUUGUCGGCGCAAGUUGGAGCGCGGCAAGCGGGUCUGUCAUUGUCGGCGCCGCCGUCAGCAGCCCGGCGGCGGCGGGCGAUACCGCGCUCGCCGAAGGCUUCCGGCUGGGCCACGGCGGCGUGUGAGGUUGAUGAUGGGGUCAACUGCCUAUGCAUACAGUGCAGCACCGACCUCUGGGAGUCUGGGUAGGCGUUGCAGUUUGCAAACAACAAAUGCCUGCUGCAAAAGUAAAGAAUCUGAAUCAUCAAAAGCACUGGAUUGGUGGAAUCUGUACAAGGUCAGAGGUAACCGAAGAUAUUCCGUAGCCAUGUGCCGUGUCUAUGCUUGCCUGUUCGUCAGACUUGGAAUAAGCUAGCUGCAGCUUCUGCUCAAGUUUGUCCCUCUCUUCUGUCACCUGGAGAACUCGGAGAAAUUCAACACGAGAAAAAACAGCUGGGAAAACUAGCAAAUGCAUCAUGCGGUUUUAAUCAAGUUGGAAAUUCCAAUAACACAAGGACGGCCUGUAUUAGCAAGAACAUACUAUGACAACUGCAGGAUUGCAAAACUCCACCAUGUUAUUUUUAUUAUUUGCUGAUCAUCUAUAUGAUGGUGUGUGUGUUUUUCACUUCUAAAAAUAUUGCUGCAAGGGUAAUGUUUACCUUCUGCUUGUAGUGUGCAUCAGCUGAUGUUAACUUCUGUGUCAGAUCUUCGAUUUGUUUCUC